UAUGAUUGUUCAAUUACAGUAUAUAAAAAAUAAAGUAUAUAUAAUACGAUAUUUCAAUAUUAAAUUACAAACGUUUCAUUUCAAGUGUACGUAGAAAUUUAAAAAAAAAAUGUUUAAAUUGAGUAUUGGUCUGUUUCUUGUAAUAUUUGCAACAUUUCCAAAUUUUAAUCGAGCUAAUGAUUGUUGCCGGUCUAGUCGGAUAGAGUUUAAAAAGCCAGUUGGCACUAAAUGUUCAACGUAUGGAGCAUGGGAUAUUGAUUUUGUUUAUCGGUUAUUUUCUGGAUUCACAACUUUGACUGUAGAUUGUUACGCAGCCGUAUGUGGCGAUGGAAACCCACCAGAAAAUCAAUUUUGUAGCAAAGGACAAUGUAAUUUUCUUGGAUGCGAUUGCACUCUUGGAUGCAUUGAAGGAGAUGCUGUGACAAACUUUAUACUAAAACAUUAAAUUUUGUAUAAAUAAAUUAUCAUCAAGUUACUAUGGCUCCGUGAUUAAAUUUGGACAUAAAGAAGAGAAUUGUUUUUUUGAUAAAAACUUUAACUCAACGAAACGUAUAACUAUAAUAUAUUUGUCAGAUACAUUCGGUCGACACAAUGUAAAGAAAACUUCAAAAAAUUUAUUUGAAAUGAAAUAAAUUUAUUCAUUUAUUAUUGUGAUAAA